rnacentral:lncRNA from 1 species
GAAAGAUAAAAAAAUACCAAUGAAACAUAUAGCAGCUUCUAUAUAUACAAAUAAUUAUAUAAAUAUAUAUAAAACAUUUCAUAAAGGAAUAAAAACUUUAUUAAAUUUAAAUAUGUCUGAAAUCGAUUUGUUAAUAAAUAAAAGGAAAUAUGCUUGUGAAAUAGUUUAUUAUAAAAGAUUAACAGAAGUAAAAUCAUCUUGUAACAAUUUUAUUUUUACUAUGUAUAAUGAAAACCUAAGUUCAAUUGAAUAUUAUUUUGAUAAAUUAAAAGAAAAAAUUACUUUAAUAAGCCUAGCUAAAACAGAAGAUAUGUUUAUUACAUUAAUGAAUUUGAUAUCGGAUAUAUUCCCGAAUAAAACGACAAACAUUGAGCAGCUUAAAAAUGGGGAACGUACCAAAAAAACGGAUGGGACGAGUGGAACGGAUGGGACGAGUGGAACGGAUGGAACGGGUGGAGAGAAAAAGACAAAUGCAAAACUAGAUUUAAAACCAUUAGAAAGAAAUAAAGUGCUCUUUUUGUACGAUAGCGAAAAAAACAAAUGUGGGUCAACCAAUAAACUAAACAGAACUAACAUAACAUACAAUUUAUUUCAUUUUUUUAAUAAAGAAUUUUUUAAUAACAAACUAACUAAUAUAAAUAUCGAGUUUGUAAAAAAUGAUAACAUACUAUCAACUCAUAUAAAUUUCAUAAAUACUUUUGAACAUUCAAAAAUUUUGAUUAAUGAUCUUAUUUAUUCUAUUGAUAUUUUAGCUAAUGUGUUACUAAAAGAAAUGGCUGAAAUUUAUUAUUUUUAUAAUGAUAAUAAAAUAGAAAAGGAAAAUAAAUUGUUUUUAAAAAAUGACUUUACUAGUGCUUAUCUACCAAUCGUUUUUAAAUAUUCCAAAAAUUAUUUAAAAAAAGAUGACACGACUGAAAAACUCAAGUUUGUUUUUGAGCUUGACGAACCCGGGGUACCGAACAAGCUUGAAAAAGCAGACGAUAUCAGCGAGACCAAAACCAACGAACACCUAUCCGAAAGAGCACGAUUCGAAGCUGAAAAAGACAAAUUCGAUUUUGAAAAUUUAUUUAACAAAAUAGCUGAACAUGAUCAUGACGAAAUGUUCAAAGAGAUUAU